GUUGCCUAAAAUACAACCCUGUAUUAAUAGUGCUAAAAAUUACAACGAUGUUCAAAAAAGUAAAUAUGCAAAGAAAUUAUCGUGUCAUGCGUCAUUCCACUUUUGGACGAGGUUAGAAAAACCAUUCAAGCUUUUCCCACAAUACCUCAUCAGUUAGGAGUUAGUAACCGCAAUUUAGGACGUCAACAACUAGAGCUCCUUCCUACAAAUAAAAUUACUAAGGAAUUUUAUCGAGAAUUUAAACACUCUAGCGUGUACUUAGUGGAAUCUUCAAAUUACAAAGGAGAAGCGGUUGACGAGACAACUCUUAAGGAAAAGCCUGCAAAAGUCCAAGAAACCAAAAGGGAUUCAGUUAAUAGAAGACAAACAUCUUUAUAUCAAGAAGACUACUCAGACGAAGAAAACAAAUUUGGUAACAUGGCUCCUCAUGACAGAACUUAUGGUGGUAACCGUGGUGGACGUGAUGAACAUGGAGGUUCAGGCGGUGGUAACCGUUAUGGCAACAGAGGAGGCGGCGGUGGUGGUAAUGACUACCAUGGCGUUCGCAAGGGCCGCGUUGAAAAAGGAGGUCGUGGUAAUGACCGUGGAGGUCGCGGAGGUGGCUUCGGCGGCGGUUUCAACGAUCGUCGUGGUGGCAAUGGAGGUGGUAAUAACCAGGAUUUGUCCAUCCGCGAUAUGGAUUUCACAAAUUUGGCUCCUUUCAAGAAGGAUUUCUACAAAGAGCAUCCCAUUGUUGCCAAUCGUUCCCCCUAUGAAGUGCAACGUUAUCGCGAUGAACAUGAAAUCACAGUACGCGGUGAUGCCCCUAACCCCAUUCAAGAUUUCGAUGAAGCCUACUUCCCUGAUUACUGCAUGAAGGAAAUCGUCCGCCAAGGCUACAAAGCUCCCACACCAAUUCAAGCCCAAGGCUGGCCCAUUGCUAUGAGUGGCCACAAUUUCGUUGGUAUUGCCAAGACCGGUUCUGGCAAAACUUUGGGUUAUAUUUUACCCGCCAUUGUGCACAUUAACAACCAACAGCCUUUGCAAAGAGGUGAUGGUCCCAUUGCUUUAGUUUUGGCACCCACUCGCGAAUUGGCACAACAAAUCCAACAGGUUGCCACUGAAUUUGGCUCAUCUUCGUAUGUACGCAAUACAUGUGUAUUUGGCGGUGCCCCCAAAGGUGGUCAAAUGCGUGAUUUGCAACGUGGCUGCGAAAUUGUUAUUGCCACCCCUGGUCGUUUGAUUGAUUUCUUGGCCGCUGGCGCUACAAAUUUGAAACGUUGCACAUAUUUGGUUUUAGAUGAAGCCGAUCGUAUGUUAGAUAUGGGUUUCGAACCUCAAAUUCGUAAAAUUAUUUCCCAAAUUCGUCCCGAUCGUCAAACUCUUAUGUGGUCCGCCACCUGGCCCAAAGAAGUCAAACAAUUGGCAGAAGAUUUCCUCGGCGACUACAUACAAAUCAACAUUGGUUCAUUGGAAUUGUCGGCCAAUCACAAUAUUCGUCAAGUCGUCGAAGUUUGCGAUGAAAAUGACAAAGAAGAAAAACUUAAAGCUUUGCUCUCCGAAAUUUAUGAUACCAGCGAAAAUCCUGGCAAAAUUAUUAUUUUUGUUGAAACCAAACGCCGUGUCGAUCAUUUAGUACGUUUUAUCCGUAGUUUCGGUGUACGCUGUGGCGCUAUUCACGGCGACAAGUCACAAUCUGAACGUGAUUUUGUUUUACGUGAAUUCCGUUCUGGCAAAUCCAACAUUUUAGUUGCUACUGAUGUAGCUGCUCGUGGUUUAGAGGCCAUAAAUGGUUGCAUGGUGGGGAUAAAAUGUCAGCUAGUAAUCUGAAAUUGAAAUAGAAAUUUUAAUGGAAAUUUUGAAAGUUGAAAAAGAAUACCAUUGCAAUGUGAAAGUUGUCAAUGAUGCAUUACAUUACAUUUUAAAAGUAAAACAUGAAAGCGGCGGCAAGCGGAUAGGCGGCAACACUUUUUUACCACAAGGCCAUUGGAAAAAAGGGUAUGUCGUAGUACCGUAACACCACCGCUACCGAACGGUAUAUGCUUUACAUGUCUAGUAAAAACAAAAUCACAAGGAGGCGGUAUAUUGAUAGAAGGCAAGAAAAAAAUGUGGUUACGCUUUUGUAUGAUGGAGUCUCAAAUUAUAGCAGAGCGUAGCAAUAGCAUUAUUUUUCAUAUAUGCUGCAGUUAGUAAAUGCUACAACUAAAAUAUACCACCACCUUUAACAAAUCCGUGUAAUAAUAAUGUCUACCUAACGACUCAUAUCCCUAUCAUCAUCAUGUAUUUAUAUUACAAGAGGCCUCUGAAGUCUUAGUUGUUAACACGACUAAAUAGGAGUAUAUCUAUCAAUAUUACAAUUAUGUAUUGAUGUAGUAGAACUUUGUAUAACUAUAAAAACACAAUAUACAAUCUUUACCCUGUAUUUUUGGGGACACACGGGAACAGCAUUAAAAAGACGGAGUGCAUACCAAUCAACCAGAGAGAAAAUAAAAACCAUUUUUUAAAGGGAACUUUUUGAAAUUAGUUUUUAUAAGAAAUAAAAUUAUUCCUUUGUAAAAAUUCUCUCAUGAAACUGGAAAUGCUCUCCGCUUAAAAGUUGGACAAACAAGCAAAAUAAAUAAAAGCACACGCAGGCAAACAGGAAAACAACCUAUGUAUAUUACUCUCUCUCAACUAUGACUCAACAUGAUGUCUCUAAUGUGUUCUUUGAUUAAGUACUAGUUGAAUAAAAUUAAAAAUAAAAUCAACAUACUAAGUUUCAAUUAGAAAAGGCUGGAUCAUUAUGCCAACAAUAGUGAUUUGGUGGUUUCUAUUUGGAAAUUCUAACUUUGCAAAGUAUUAAAGAAAGCUGUGUAUGACAGACGUAUUAAAUGGAGUCGUAACAAAUGUUGAAUAGCUGUUGUGUAUGAUGGCAAACCAAAAACUACAAUACGACAACAUCAUCAUUUGCUUCAACGUUCUUCAUUCCCAACAGUACGUUGUCAGCUAUAGUAAAUAUGAAUGAAAGGAGUAACAAAGAAUAAAACUAACAAAGGACACAUUUUAGUCAGAAACCAGUGAUAGUUUAUUUUUUAAUCCAAAACAAUGUCUACAUGCUUGCGUUAUUUGUGUGUGUGUGUGUGUGUUCGUAAGUGUACAACCGGAUGGAUGCUGGAGCCUUAGGCGCACUAAACUGCUAAACAUAUUGGUGCGCUACACUCGUGACAAAACAUGAAAGUGAUGGCUUUGGCUUCUAAUCAACGUAUACAAACAAACAAAAACCAACUCUCCUGCUGAUCAUGUGUGUCUAGUUCUAAAAAAACAACUCAAAUAUUUGUUGUAAGCGUAUCUAAACUAACGUUGUUGAAAAAAGCUAAACCGAGAUAUCAAAACCGACGUUUAGUUUUGUUCUUAAGAAAAAAUACAUUUCAAGUUGUUUAUAAAAGACUACAGGCUCUUCAACACUACGUCGUCUUAAUGCCCAUUCUACAGCACCUAAACGACGUGGCUGCGAAGAGUUUGCCCCUCUCAAUAUUAAUUGAUACGAAAUAAUAAAACCGAAAAUCACAAGAUGUUGAUGGCAUUAAGUUUGUAAUCAAUUUCGAUUAUCCACAAUCUUCGGAGGACUAUAUUCAUCGUAUUGGUCGUACUGGUCGUUCAAAUACAAAGGGCACAUCAUAUGCAUUCUUUACACGCAAUAAUGCUAAACAAUCCAAAGCUUUAGUUGAUGUUUUAAGAGAGGCUAAUCAGGAAAUCAGUCCUGCUUUAGAAGGUAUGGCACGCAAUAACCGCUUUGGCGAUGGUGGUCGUUCACGAUAUGGCGGUGGCGGCAAUUCUCGCUUCAAUGGCACCUUCAAAAAGGGUUCAAUGGGCGGUGGCAACCGAGGCUAUGGCAACAAUAACGGUGGCGGUUAUGGUGGUGGCCGCAGCUACGGCGGUGGUAGCAACAAUGAAGGAGGCUACGGACGCGGUGGCGGCAGUAGUAGUAAUGGCGGUGGUAAUACCAGACAUACGCGUUUUGAUUAAAUAAAAAAUCAAGAAUUAGUUUAUAAGGACCUAAUAUUAAAUUAAUUUUAGUAUAUGUAUUUUUAAUUUUUAACUAUAACAAACAGAUUUGUUUCUCAUCCUAACAAACAAUACAAAAAACACAAAAAUCAAUAUUUUUAGAAUUGAAAAAAAAACAAACAAAAAAAAAAAAACUCAUUAUAGAGUAUAAUUUUCUAGAACAAAAUAUAAAAUCACUUUUUUGAAUUGAAAAAGACAAAAAAAUAACAAAGCAAGAAUACUUUUAUUUAAACAUAAAGUAAACAAUUUACUUAAAUCAGCACAAGAGGUACAGUGCAUUUCGUUUUGUGAUACUCUACAUAUUUUUCACUUUUUGUCAACAUCUUUUUUAAUUCAUUAAAAUCCAAAUGAAAAAUAAAA